AUGGCGCUCAACAAGAAUCACUUGGAAGGCGGCGGAGUGAUUGUCAACAACACUUAGAGCAUCCUGAUGUCCUAUGACCACGUGGAACUAACAUUCAAUGAAUGACAUGAAGAACAUACCAGAGGCUUUCAAAGGGACCAAGAAAGGCACCAUCUACCUUACUCCUUACUGGAUCAUCUUUCUGUCCAAGGGGAAGGAUGCCAUGCAGCCCUUCAUGAUGCCGUUUUAUCUGACGAAGGACUGUGAGAUCAAGCAGCCUGUGUUUGGUGCAAACUACAUCAAGGGAAUGGUGAAGGCCGAAGCAGGAGGUGGCUGGGAAGGCUCCGCUUCCUACAAGUUGACCUUUACAACAGGGGGCGCCAUCGAGUUUGGACAGCGGACGCUUUAGAUGGCCUCUCAAGCUUCCCGAGGCGAAGCCCCCAAUGGAGCCUAUGGGUACCCUUACAUGCCCAGCGGGGCCUAUGUCCUUCCCCCACCAGUCGCCAAUGGAAUGUACCCCUGCCCUCCUGGCUACCCCUAUCCACCGCCCCCACCUGAGUUCUACCCAGGGCCUCCCAUGAUGGAUGGAGCCAGGGGCUACGUGCAGCCCCCGCCGCCGCCCUACCCCGGGCCCAUGGAGCUUCCGGUCAGCGGCCCUGAGGUCCCCUCCACCCCGGCAGCCGAGGCCAAGGCCGCGGAAGCAGCUGCCAGCGCCUAUUACAACCCCGGCAACCCACACAAUGUCUACAUGCCCACGAGCCAGCCUCCACCACCACCCUACUACCCCCCAGAAGAUAAGAAAACGCAGUAGACCCCACCUGCCUCCCUGCCUCUCCCCCUGGGGCGGGGCGGAAAGGGGGCGUAUGUAGGGUCUUGUUCUUCCCCCACCUAAUCAUAAACAGUUACCAGGAAUGAGUGAGGUGGGAAGGGCGUGGCCCCCUGAACUCUAGAGGCGCACCCCAGCUUCCCAGGCUAGCUCGGCCCCUAGUGCUGCUUCCCCCUCGCUGUCUCGGGGGCUCCCGGGAGCAAGCGCUGUCCCCCAGUUCCUCUUUCACUCUGAUAAUCACAGCUCCACUAGCGCCUUCCCACGGAGGGACUCUCUGGCCACCUCCUCCACUGCAGUCCAACCCCUGGUGCCUCCCAGGCGACACGCGG